rnacentral:rRNA from 1 species
UGCGUAGGCGGGGCAAUUAGUCAGUGGUGAAAUUCUGCGGCUUAACCGUAGAACUGCCAUUGAUACUGUUGCCCUUGAGUAUAGUUGAGGUGGGCGAAAUGUGUAAUGUAGCGGUGAAAUGCAUAGAGAUUACACAGAACACCAAUUGCGAAGGCAGCUCACUAAGCUAUAACUGACGCUGAGGCACGAAAGCGUGGGGAGCGAACAGGAUUAGAUACCCUGGUAGUCC